rnacentral:rRNA from 1 species
UUUAUUGGAGAGUUUGAUCCUGGCUCAGGAUGAACGCUGGCGGCGUGCCUAAUACAUGCAAGUCGGGCGAAUUGAUUAAGAGCUUGCUCUUAUGAAGUUAGCGGCGGACGGGUGAGUAACACGUGGGUAACCUGCCCAUAAGACUGGGAUAACUCCGGGAAACCGGGGCUAAUACCGGAUAACAU